rnacentral:rRNA from 1 species
UACAGAGGUCUCAAGCGUUGUUCGGAUUCAUUGGGCGUAAAGGGUGCGUAGGCGGCGCGGUAAGUCGGGUGUGAAAGCCCUGGGCUCAACCCGGGAACUGCUUUUGAAACUGCCGAGCUGGAGUGCGGAAGGGGCAACUGGAAUUCCCAGUGUAGCGGUGAAAUGCGUAGAUAUUGGGAAGAACACCUGAGGCGAAGGCGGGUUGCUGGGCCGACACUGACGCUGAUGCGCGAAAGCCAGGGGAGCGAACGGG